CGAGAACGAUUGAAGAUAAGAGGCUUUAUUCAUAAUUCCUGGUGCAAAGAAUAUCAGAUGAUGUGGAGAAAUGUUCGAUGCUUCAAGACUCUGAAGCUGAUUUUAUUAGGUCCACCCAGUGGCUUUUGACUAUUUGAG